CAGUCGCCGCGGUAACACGUAGGGUGCGAGCGUUAAUCGGAAUUACUGGGCGUAAAGCGUGCGCAGGCGGUUAUAUAAGACAGAUGUGAAAUCCCUGGGCUCAACCUGGGACCUGCAUUUGUGACUGUAUAGCUAGAGUACGGUAGAGGGGGAUGGAAUUCCGCGUGUAGUAGUGAAAUGCGUAGAUAUGCGGAGGAACACCGAUGGCGAAGGCAAUCCCCUGGACCUGUACUGACGCUCAUGCACGAAAGCGUGGGGAGCAAACAGGAUUAGAUACCCGGGUAGUCCCUGUCUCUUAUAC
rnacentral:rRNA from 1 species